rnacentral:lncRNA from 1 species
AUGAUGAAAGGAACGUCAUCCUUUGGAAAGCAUCGCAAUAAGACACUCACGCUGUGCCGCCAUUGAGGCUCUAAGGCCUACCACCUUCAGGAGUCGACUUGUGGCAAAUGUGGCUAUCCUGCCAAAUGCAAGAGAAAGAAACUGGAGUGCCAAGGCUAAGAGACGAAACGCUACCAGGGCUGGUCAGAUGAGGCACCUAAAAAUUGUCUAUCGAAGAUUCAGACAUGGAUUCUGUGAAGGAACACCACCUAAACCCAAGAGGGCAGCUGUUGCAGCAUCCAGUUCAUCUUGA